rnacentral:rRNA from 1 species
GAAACGAUGGCUAAUACCGCAUAAUAGCUUCGGCUCAAAGAGGGGGACUUCGGGCCUCUCGCGUCAGGAUAUGCCCAGGUGGGAUUAGCUAGUUGGUGAGGUAAAUGGCUCACCAAGGCGACGAUCCCUAGCUGGUCUGAGAGGAUGAUCAGCCACACUGGAACUGAGACACGGUCCAGACUCUACGGGAGGCAGCAGUGGGGAAUAUUGCACAAUGGGCGCAAGCCUGAUGCAGCCAUGCCGCGUGUGUGAAGAAGGCUUCGGGUUGUAAAGCACUUUCAGUCGUGAGGAAGGUGGUAGUGUUAAUAGCACUAUCAUUUGACGUUAGCGACAGAAGAAGCACCGGCUAACUCCGUGCCAGCAGCCGCGGUAAUACGGAGGGUGCGAGCGUUAAUCGGAAUUACUGGGCGUAAAGCGCAUGCAGGUGGUUUGUUAAGUCAGAUGUGAAAGCCCGGGGCUCAACCUCGGAAUAGCAUUUGAAACUGGCAAGCUAGAGUACUGUAGAGGGGGGUAGAAUUUCAGGUGUAGCGGUGAAAUGCGUAGAGAUCUGAAGGAAUACCGGUGGCGAAGGCGGCCCCCUGGACAGAUACUGACACUCA